GAUGAACGCUGACAGAAUGCUUAACACAUCAGCGAUGGAUUGGUGGCGGACGGGUGAGUAACGCGUAAAGAACUUGCAUCACAGGUAGGGACAACAUUUGGAAACGAAUGCUAAUACCUAAUCCUGUGAGAGAGCUUUGCGUCCCAUUAGCUCGUUGGAGAGGUAACGGCUCACCAAGGCGAUGAUGGGUAGCCGGCCUGAGAGGGUGAUCGGGCACAAGGGGACUGAGACACGGCCAUUACGCCUUCUGGAGGCAGGAGUGGGGAAUAUUGGCCGAUGUACCAAAGUCUGAUCAAGCACUUCUGUGUGCACGAUGAAGUUUUCGGAAUGUAAAGUGCUUUCAGUAGGGAAGCGGUACCAACAGAAGAAGGGACGGCUAAAUACGUGCCAGCAGCCGCGGUAAUAC
rnacentral:rRNA from 1 species